GAGCUGAGCCAACAGUUAAUCAGUGCAGACAAUCAGGCCGCCAGCACUCAGACUCACUCCUGGCCUUCUUCUUUUUGGCGGACAGGCAUAGCCUUUGACUCAUCUUCUAAAGAUGCCCUAGGGCUUAUGUAGAUUGUUUCUGCAGCUCUGAUACUUAAAACUAGGUUAAUGAGAUUAAGUCUGUGUACUUCCAUUCAGACUGAACUCUUCACAAGUCCUUGAGUUGUAAAUGAUACUGGCGGUAGGCCAGAGCACCACAAGAGGCUACACUUGGAGUGCUGUGUCCCUGGGCACAAGAAACUGGGCAUCUACUGGACCAGGACCACCAAAGGGCCAUGAAAAUGAUGGAGUGAGAGCAGCUGAUGUAAAAAGAGAGGCUGACAGAGUGGACAGGUCUACAGCUUGAUCAACCUAUAUCACACACACUGGAAAGUUUCCCACCACAGGCAGCAUGUUCAACCACACAGAACUGAGGAAGUAACUCAUAACUACCAGGCCCCUUAAGGAGGAAUAAAGAGAAGCCACAUCUGCUCUGAUGUCCCGGGUAGGUGUAGCAAGCCCUCUGGACUGCCUCUGCCAUGCCAGCAGCCAGAAAGUUGUGCUCCGAACUGAAAGGGGCAGGCUGUGUAAGGUUUGUACGGGGGAGCUUUUGAAACUGGAAGCAGCGACUGUACUGCUACUGCUUUUCUCUGAAAUUCCUCCAGACAGAAAGUUUUGAAGGAUUUAUUGUGUGUGCAUGCAUUUCAAAAAGUUAAAAGCCUGAGGACUGAAGCUGACUGAAGUCUUCACAGGCUGACUGCAAAGUCAGGAGUGAAGGUCAUAAACCAAAGAGCUGGUGUGGAUAUGUUUUGCCCAGAAGUGAUGGACAACAAGAACAUGAGAUGUCAGACCCAGAGAGACAGUCACAAAGAAAAUAAUGAUAUUCAGAGAAAUACAAGGUAUAGGAACUAGGAAGAGUGAUUGUGAUACUUAAAACAAUGUGGUCUUGUGUAGGAAAACGGCAGGGGGAGAAAAUCUUUUAAUUGCAGUCAUGUGCUUUUUCUGUGUUUUCCCCGAGGGCAGUGGAGUAUUUUCAUAAAUCUAUGACUAAUUUUUGAGCUCUGGAUUUCAAGCCAAUUCUACAAUUAGCUAAACCUUUCUGUAUUUUUAGUAAGAGAACUGUAUGUACGCUUUCUGCCAAGUUAGUCACACACAUGACUACAAUUUUUUCUACUAAAUGGUCUAUUAUGCAUGAAAGGUUAAUAAACACAUUUGGAAAGAUAAAGAAAGAACUAAUUCUUCUUUCUGUAGUAACAAUGAUCAUGUACUUGAUAAGUCAAAACAUACCCCAAAGUAGGGCAAAAAAAUAGGCAGUUGUUUGCAAACCUUUCUGUUGUUAGAUGUGAAAGUCUUGUCUUAUUCCACAGCAGCAUUGCAGAAGAUGGCAGGUGUGGCUAUGGUGAAGCUUCAGAUUUCUGUUUUCAUAUUCAGAUUUUCUUAAUUAACAUGUGAAGACAAUAGUGAAGCUACUGCUAAAAGGAAGUGAUGCAAUACACAGGUAAUGUGUGCUGGCUGAAUGUGAAUCUAGUUAGGAUGUUGGUCAUUUUAGCAAAAUGACUUUAAUACAAGUUUUAUAUAAGUUUGGAUUAGCAUUUCAAUCUUUCUGCAGUGUUGUCAUGUUAAAAUUUUGAUUUUUUGUACUUAAUGAUAUAUCUCACUUCUGAUUUCUUUCUUGUCUUUAACUUUUUCUAAGCUUUCUUUUAAGUUUUUCAAAUCUGUGGAAGUUCUACAAAGAACUUUUUCUCACGCACAUAUUGAAGAUGCUGAAUUAUGUGUAUCCUGAGAAGUUUUAGGAACUCUUUCAAUAAAUGAAAGUCUUACCAGAUGCACUUCUUCCAUUAUGCUGAGAAUCAUUAUGCAGUAAAAUAUAUAACCUCAUGGGUAAGCAGUGCAGUUCUCACGGUUAAGGCAUUUAAAACAUAUUACAGGACAAAGCAAUAACAUUUUACAUUGUGCUGUGUCUUGGCAAAGACAACUUACGGAUUUAGUUGCUAUGUAACUGUGAUUUAUUAAUUUCAUGUGUCUUGGGCUCCUUCUCAUCAAUCUUUUUGGCAUUUCACGCUGUUACUAGCAAACCUAUAUCCCAUUAAAAGCAAUUGUUACAAUGGUAAUUUCCUGAUCAGAGUAUUCAGAGGCACCUACUUCUGUGCUCCUAGUAGAAAAGCAACUAGGCUUGAAGGCUGUAAAAUUUGAGCUUUAAACCUGUUUUAUCUGUAUUGUACCAAAAAUAUGAUCCAGAGUUUGAGUUGCAUUUACACAGUUUCCAAACUUACUUUCUACCAUUAGGAUAUCCUAUAUCUUCUUGCUAAAAUUCUUAGUGUGGAACUUAUAUUACAACAUGGGAAUUUAGAAAGCAGAAAACGUGGUGAUGCUGAUACCUGGCAAUAAAUUCAGGGCCUUCAAGCAAUUAAUUCAAACUCUUAAGCGAACUGACUUUCUGUCUAGGGAAGGUUUUCCUAGAUAAGCAGGACAUCUGGCACCUAAAAACAGAGUCUCAAUAUUCCACAAGCCUUGAGUAAGUACACUAUGCCCUUCUAGGGCAGAUAAUAUCAGCACUAUAACAAGAUCAGUGUGUUAACUGGGAACCUAAUCAUCAGCCAUGUUUUUUGUAAAUAAGUUCUUGACCAAAUAUGUGACCUGGCCUACAUAACACACGAUCUUUUGCCUGGAUAACACCUCCCAGUGGAACCCCGUGACCACCACAGUCCUCUUGCAAGAGCUGAACAUUAACACAGUGUGGAUGUAUUAUUAGAUUAGAUUUUUAAUAUGUAUAGCAGUUCUUGGAAUAAGUGAAUUGUAUCAGUGUUCACAUCCUGAAUGUAUAUAAUCUGUGUGCUUUAGCUCCUGGGUGUGCAUGCUUGGAGACAUCUCCCAUGCAUCCAGUGUUGCAAUACAGUAAUGUUGGCUUUCUGAUCUGUCACUGAGGUUGGUGAGUUUCAAUCCUGGAUUUUUUUUUUUGAUGUAUGGACUCUGACAGCAAUUAAAGUGACUGCACUG
ensembl:lncRNA